CGCAUAGUACUGUGAAGGAAAGGUGAAAAGGACCCCGGGAGGGGAGUGAAAGAGAACCUGAAACCCUGUGUUUACAAACUGUGGAAGUACCAUACGAGUACAACCGCGUACUUUUUGUAGAACGGUCCGGCGAGUUACGUUUACUGGCGAGGUUAAGCACUUAAGGUGCGGAGCCGAAGGGAUACCAAGUCUUAACAGGGCGUAAAGUCAGUGUACGUAGACCCGAAACCGGGUGAUCUACCCAUGUCCAGGCUGAAGUUGCCGUAAAAGGCAAUGGAGGGCCGAACGCACAUCCGUUGAAAAGGGUGGCGAUGAGGUGUGGGUAGGGGAGAAAUUCCAAUCGAACCCGGAGAUAGCUGGUUCUCCUCGAAAUAGCUUUAGGGCUAGCCUCGUGUUAACCUUGUGGAGGUAGAGCACUGAAUAUCCUAGGGGGCGUCAAAGUCUACCGAAGAUUAUCAAACUCCGAAUGCCAUAAAGGUGAUGCACGGGAGUCAGACUGCACGAGAUAAGUUGGGUGGUCAAAAGGGAAAGAGCCCAGACCUACAGCUAAGGUCCCAAAGUGCGUGUUAAGUGGAAAAGGAUGUGGGAUUUCGAAGACAACUAGGAUGUUGGCUCAGAAGCAGCCAUACAUUCAAAGAGUGCGUAAUAGCUCACUAGUCGAGAGGUCCUGCGCCGAAAAUGUCCGGGGCUAAAACACGACACCGAAGCUUAGGACUCCAUUUAGGAGUGGUAGAGGAGCAUUGUUAGCGCAGCGAAGCUGUACCGAUAAGGAGCAGUGGAGUGCUAAGAAGAGAGAAUGCCGGAAUGAGUAGCGAGAGGAAGGUGAGAAUCCUUCCGGCCGAAUAUCCAAGGUUUCCAGAGUAAAGCUGAUCUGCUCUGGGUAAGUCGGGGCCUAAGGCGAGGUCGAAAGACGUAGUCGAUGGAUAACAGGUGGAGAUUCCUGUACUAUGUGUACCCAGAAAUGUGGGGACGCAUGUGGAGAGCACGAGCCGGGAAAGAGAAAACCGGUACAAGCGGGGUAGGAGUAAGGACAGCAAAUCUUCCUUACAAUCCGAAGACGUAAUGUGGACCGAACCAAAGUAGGGAAGCGUGUGAGCCAUGUGCCAAGAAAAGCCGCUAUUGUGAUACACAUACCCGUACCGUAAACCGACACAGGUGGAUGAGGAGAGAAUCCUAAGGCCGACGGAAGAAGCAUUGUUAAGGAACUCGGCAAAAUGACCCCGUAACUUCGGGAGAAGGGGUGCCCUGUGAAAGCAGGGCCGCAGAGAAUAGGCUCAAGCAACUGUUUAGCAAAAACACAGGUCUAUGCGAAACCGAAAGGUGAGGUAUAUGGGCUGACGCCUGCCCGGUGCUGGAAGGUUAAGAGGAGAGGUUAGCGCAAGCGAAGCUUUGAAUUUAAGCCCCAGUAAACGGCGGCCGUAACUAUAACGGUCCUAAGGUAGCGAAAUUCCUUGUC
rnacentral:rRNA from 1 species